UACCAGCUCUUCGAGUGGUGUGGAUGUUUAUUGGGCCUAAAGCAUCCGUAGCUGGCUGGGCAAGUCCCCUGUUAAAUCCACCGAUUUAAUCGUUGGAGUGCGGGGGAUACUGUUCGGCUAGGGGACGGGAGAGGCAGACGGUAUUUUCGGGGUAGGGGUGAAAUCCUAUAAUCCCGAGAAGACCACCAGUGGCGAAGGCUGUCUGCUAGAACGCGCCCGACGGUGAGGGAUGAAAGCUGGGGGAGCGAACCGGAUUAGAUACCCGGGUAGUCCCAGCUGUAAACGAUGCAGGCUAGGUGUUUGGACGGCCACGUGCCGUUCUAGUGCCGCAGGGAAGCCGUUAAGCCUGCCGCCUGGGGAGUACGGCCGCAAGGCUGAAACUUAAAGGAAUUGGCGGGGAGCACCACAAGGGGUGAAGCUUGCGAUUU
rnacentral:rRNA from 1 species